rnacentral:rRNA from 1 species
ACGCGGCCGUAAAAGUACCGGAGGAAGGUGGGGAUGACGUCAAAUCAUCAUGCCCCUUAUGACCUGGGCUACACACGUGCUACAAUGGUUGGUACAACGAGUUGCGAGUCGGUGACGGCGAGCUAAUCUCUUAAAGCCAAUCUCAGUUCGGAUUGUAGGCUGCAACUCGCCUACAUGAAGUCGGAAUCGCUAGUAAUCGCGGAUCAGCACGCCCGCGGUCGAAUACGUUCCCGGGCCUU